GAAAGCGGGGCCGGGGUCGCCGGGGGGUGGUGGCGGUCUGCAGGUGCCCGUGCACCACACGGCAGAGACAGACGGGUGGGAAAAUGGGACACGCACACAGAACCCGCAGUUCUUCUGGAUUCUUCUUACAAUCGUUGGGUCCAAUGGAAGGAGACUCAGAGAUACAAAAGGCAGAAGAGAGGUGACUUAAUGCUUCACAGCUGUAUGGAACAGACAGCUUAUUGUGACUUCUUUCUUUUUGUGACAAUAUGUGCGGCUAUGACAGAAAGAGUGAACUCUCAGCUUGUUUUUCAGCCAGCUUAAAAUUCAACUGUUAGUGGAGGAAAGUGAUUUGAAACCAACCUGAAAUUACUACUUGGGAAAUGUUUUGACAAAUUGAUUUUUUUUUCUAUACAUUUCGUUUCAAUACUUUUUUGCACUUUAAAAGACAUUAUUUAAGAAUCUUGAAGUACCUCUGGAAAUGGAUAGUCAUUCCAAAAAGGAAAUGGUACAGCACUGAAUUUUGGAAGUGACUAAUAUUCCCAUUUUUUCUUUUAUCCUUUUGUUUUGACCUGAAGACAUCUACGGAUUCAUAAUGAACUUAUGACAUGCUUUUCAGUCCCCUGAAUUAUGGCAGGGAUUUCUUUAUGGCUUCCCUUAAUCUCUGUAGGUCUGAAAUGGAAGUCUGCUUCUGACAGUGAAAAAUAUCAUAACUCUGCAUGCUUAGCAAGGAGGAAGAACGACUGACAGACACCUUGCAAAGUGAAAACAAAUGAGGAGCUCUAAUUUAAAAGCACAGAGAGACUCGGAGCCAGCAGGGAGCUCCUGAUGACAUGCAGACGAGGGGCAGCUGAGCUGCUGUUGAUGGGAGGGCUGCUCCUACUGCAUUCCCCCGACCUGUCUUAGCCUGAGGGGCAUCUGAUGUGGUGGAAGAGCUCCCAUGCUGAGCUGCGUGGCACAGCCACACCAGCAGGUUUUAUUCUAGCUGAAGGGGAUAUCAAAAAGGGUCUGUUCUCCAAGGUGGAAUUUUUUUUUUAUGUUUAGAUUGAGUAUGAAUGAAGAAAACUAGACAAGAAACACAAUAUUAAAAUUAUUCAAAAAAGGGUAAUAUAGAAAAUGUAGCAUUUAUAGGUAUAUAUUUUUUAAUAGCAAUUAAGGACUUUGUCGGGAAGGCUUGUUUCCUGGACAUAUCCUACAGCUCUUUUGAGCUGCCUGUUAAAGGUCAUUGUCACAGACUGCUGGUCCAGCUCUCAUCCUUGGCUCCAGACUGACCUGUGCUGCGAUCCUCAGGAAGCCAGGGCUUUGCUCCUUUCCCACCACGGUGCCUUCUCCAGUGACCCACGGGCGCCACCGUCCUGUCCCAGCCUGGAUCCCUGCGGAGGCUCAGGGGCAGCCCGCAGCUGUGGAACAGCAGGAUCGGCGGGAAUUACAAACCUUCUGCAGAGCAUCACCCUGCCUUCUCCCCAGGCAUUACACCAGGCAGGGGCUCUCAGCUGCCCCAGACUGCAGGCUGUGGCACAGAAUGGAUACUGAAUAACAUCCCAGGCUUCAUCAGACACGCUUUAAUCUCUUGAAUAUAUUGUGGACUAAUGGGACACGUCACCGGAUAAAUCAGGAAGCCAGCGUACAUGCAAAGGCCAGCGACCGAGCAAAAACCGUUCGGUUUAUCGAGAAUCAUUUCCUCCGCCAGUACACUACUGAGAAUAAGUUUACUAAAAGCUUAAAGUGGGAUUAGAAGAUAAAGCAGGAUCCAAUCACUGACAGCAUUUCCCCCUCUAAACCAUUCUCACAUGAAUCUUAGAGCCCUAAGCUGCACCAGUCUUGUGCUUUCAUAGAGGGACUCAGCUUGAGCAGUGUCAGUGGCGAGGAACACAUCUGAACAACAUCCAUGCUGCUGAAUAUUCAGAGAACAGCCCAGGCUUUUGCCAAGCCAUAUUCUUGCAAGAAAGCAACCAUCUUAAGUGUGUUACCCAGGGCAGGAAAAAUAAACACAAAGCAGACAGCAUUUUUUAGGAUCACUCAACCUUUUGUCAAAUUCUGGAACUAACUCAGCCACCAUUGAAGCCCUCAAGCCACUGCCGUAUCAGCCCUUCCUCCUCCCACAGCCCAGUGUGGCUACCACAAAGAUGAAGAAUGACAUAUCCGUGUCUGUUCAGCCUUUGUAUAGUUUUUAUGUCCUACUUGCUUCACUUGAGUCAUUCUGCACAGUAGGCAGCCAUACACGUGUUGUCAGCCUUCAGUCAGAACAGCACUCUACAAGUGACGCAUGAACGCUGGCAGGCUGCAGUUACAGUGAGUAAGGAAUGGAUGUGCCCUGGCCUAAGCCAGUGAAAAUAACUCAGCCAGCCUCCUGGCUACCCUCAGAGCAAGUUCAGCUUGGCUCUUCCCCGCAGUUGAGUAUGCACAUCCAGAACCAGCACUUCCAGCACAGCCAGCAGCAUCCGCACACAGGAGAUGAACACGCUCAUGCCCUUCAUGUUCUGUGCCACUGGACACAGAACCAGCUGGCAGAUGUUGUCAUUGUUGUGGCAUAUGCUUAAAUCGUCCUGCUCUGACUUUUGCAGGAGUUUUGGCAUUUUCCCCUAAUGGUACUAGGCAGACUCUCCCACAGUGUAUUCCGACCACCCAGCCUGCCUUACCUGAAAGGAAGCCACUGAAUAAAACAGAUUGAGGAGAGCCCUCCAAGUUGCAUUUACCUACAGCAGGAGGGUCCCAUUCUGUAAUAGAUCACAUUGGCUAGAAAAUGCACACUCCAAUGCUCCAGUGCAUGAGUUGCCACCUGUACUAUGCACAAAAAACAUCUUUUCAGCACAGAUCACAAUGAAGCUGGAUGUGGCUUAAGUAAAUACGAGCUGCAGGAAGAAGCCUGAGCACUCUGUAGCAAGUACUACUUAAGGAGAGCUUCAGGAAUCAUUUUUGUCACGGUACUAUCUUUACUACGUGAGGAAUACAGCUGUAGAGACCCUAAGAAGACUCAGAAUUAAGAAUUAAAGAAAACUGUUAAGAAUUAAUGGAAAAGUCACUGAGAAGAGAAGCUGGCAUUUUCAGAAAAUUACUCCAAUUUCCUAACCAAAUUUACUGUACCUGUUGAAAACACUUACCUGGAUAACCAAGUAUGCAGUAAUAGUAACAAUAAUAAAGACAGCACUCUCCUGACAGUUAAGUCCUAAAUUAAGAUCAGAGAAGUGCCAGCAGUCAAGAGUCAGUAACACAAAGCUGAGCCCUCUCCAGUAUCUAAAAGCUACAGAAGCAUUCAAGAACCUAAUAAAUAGGUCAACUCAUUUCUGUACUCUGUAUCAGGUAUGAUUAAUCCAUAAAAUUAAAAUUUUAAUGCUUACACACAGUUAUUAUAAAUGUUUAUAUAUGCUAUUGUAAAUAUUUAAUGUCCGGUUAGAUUGGCAAUAUUAAGAUCACUUUAUUUUAAGCCUUAUGGAUUUUGAAAACACAUACAAAUAAAAUACCUGUUACAAAAUUCCAUUUGCUAAAGUUUCUUCAGGAAUAUACAUCAAGCAUGAUCCCAGCACAGAGAUAAAUGACUUUUACAGAAAGCAUUACAUAGAGCAAUAAAUGUUAGUGAAACAGCCAGUCUUUCCAGAUAUUUUACAAUGAAAAAUUCUCUUUCUCUUUGUCACAUCUAUUAUUUGACUAAAUUUUAAUUUCUUUAUUUAAAAUAGCCACAUCUGAAUUUAAAAUGUGUAACCAAAACAACUGUGGAAGUCAACAGGCACUCAGAAGCCCCAAAGGGGAGAGUAAGCACUAUUUUUCAAGUUCACUAGUUCAGGGGUAAAAAUCCCUGAGAGACAGAAAAUGCUGAACCCAUUUCCUUCAAUUGAAAGAU